AUUUUUAAAGACUUAAUUUUUUUGGCCUAAUAUAUAGUCUAUCAUUGAAAAUGCUCCAUGUGCCAAGGAGAAGAAUGUGCAUUCUGCAGCUGUUGGAUGAUAUUUUCUGUAAAUAUUUAUUAGGUCCAUUUGGUCUGCAGUGUGGAUUAAGUGCAAAUUUCUUUGUUGAUUUUCAGUCUCGAUGAUCUGUGCAAUGUGAAAGUUGAGUGUUGAAGUCUUUAGCUAUUAUUAUGUUAAGGUUGAUCACUCUCUUUAGCUCUGACAAUACUUGCUUCAUAUAUCUAGGUGUUCCUGUGUUGGCUGCAUAUACAUUUACAAUUAUUGUAUCCUCUUGGUAAUUUUAUCCUGUUGUCAUUAUAUAAUGGUCUUCUUUGUAUUUUUUUACAGUUUUUGUCUUAAAAUCUAUUUUAUCUGAUAUAAAAUAGAUUUAUAUCUGAUAAAUUUAUAUCUAUUUUAUCUGAUAUAAAAAAUCUAUUUUAUCUGAUAUAAAAUUAUAUCUGACUUGCUCUUUCGUAGUUCCCAUUGGCAUGGAAUAUAUUUUUCCAUCUCUUUAUUUUCAGUCUACUUGUGUCUUUACAGGUGAAGUGCAUUUCUUCUAGACUAUAGAUCAUUGGGUCUUGUUUUCUUUUUUCUUUUCUGUUCUUUUUUUUUAAGACAGAGUCUCCCUCUGUCACCUCAGCUGGAGUGCACAGCAUGAUCUCAGCUCACUGCAACCUCCACCUCCUGAGCUCUAAGCAAUUCUCCUGCCUCAGCCUCCAGAGUAGCUGGGACUAAAGGCACCCCCACGCCUGGCUAAUUUUGUAUUUUUAGUAGAGACGGGGUUUCAUCAUGUUGGCCAGGGUGGUCUCAAACUCCUGACCUCAGGAAAUCCACAUGCCUCGGCCUCCCAAAGUACAGGGACUACAUGCGUGAGAAUAGGGUUUGGAGACAGGGAACAUAAGGACUUCCUAGAACUAAAUCACAUGGAAACAUUACAGCUAUGACAGGAAAUAUCCUCUCCAUUUAUGUAGGGAAUAGGCCAAAUACAUGACUUUGUAACUUUACUUCAUCCUCUUCAUUUACAUAGGGUGUACACCAAGUAACCAAUGGAAACAUCUAGAGGGUAUUUAAACCCCCAAAAAAAAUCUGUAACAGGGCCCUUGAGCCCGUAUUCUGAGGCCUGCUCCCACACUGUGGAGUGUACUUUCAUUUUCAAUAAAUCUCUGCUUUUGUUGCUUCAUUCUUUGCUUGCUUUGUUUGUGCGUUUUGUCCAAUUCUUUGUUCAAGACACCAAGAACCUGGACACCCUCCAGUGGUUAACAGCAGCACUUUGGGAGACCGAGGAAGGCAGAUCACUUGAAGCCAGAAGUUUAAGACCAGCCUGGUCAACAUAGCGAAACCCUGUUCCUGUGUUUGAAUAUUGACCUGGAAGACUUUGAAUCUUGAAACUCUUUGAGCUUCAUCGUUCUUUCUGUGUAAAUUAGAGAGGACUAUACUU
rnacentral:lncRNA from 10 species